GUUCCUGUUCCCGUUUCUGUUCCCGUUUCUGUUCCUGUCCCUGUACCUGUUCCUGUUCCUGUUCCUGUUCCACCAUGGAGUUGGCUCCUUCAGAUCUGUCUGGAUCGCAAACCUUCCCUCGACUCAGUGGGCUUCACAACUUCGUAUAAGGAAAUAUCAGGGCCUGUUGAGUUCUGUGGAAAGUACAAAGUUCAGGGUGACACGUUGCCAAAUCAAACGUGCGAGUGUUGCUGUAAUGGACGAUAAUAGAUGAAUGGACAGACAGAACCAGACUCGGGCCUGACGGAGCUGUUUAACCCCCAGCGCUCUUCAAUUUACCAGGACAAGCACCUUGAGCUCCGGCACCGCGUCGACACGAAACGCCGUGGAAGGCACGGCAGGGGGUUGCCGG